rnacentral:rRNA from 1 species
UACGUAGGGUGCAAGCGUUGUCCGGAAUUAUUGGGCGUAAAGAGCUCGUAGGCGGUUUGUCGCGUCUGCUGUGAAAUCCCGAGGCUCAACCUCGGGCUUGCAGUGGGUACGGGCAGACUAGAGUGCGGUAGGGGAGACUGGAAUUCCUGGUGUAGCGGUGGAAUGCGCAGAUAUCAGGAGGAACACCGAUGGCGAAGGCAGGUCUCUGGGCCGCAACUGACGCUGAGGAGCGAAAGCGUGGGGAGCGAACAGG